rnacentral:rRNA from 1 species
UACGUAGGCAGCAAGCGUUGUUCGGAGUUACUGGGCGUAAAGGGUGUAGGCGGUUCCCUAAGUUUGGUGUGAAAUCUCCCGGCUCAACUGGGAGGGUGCGCCGAAAACUGGGGGGCUAGAGUACUGGAUGGGAGAGUGGAAUUCCUGGUGUAGCGGUGAAAUGCGUAGAUAUCAGGAGGAACACCUGUGGUGUAGACGGCUCUCUGGACAGUAACUGACGCUGAGACACGAAAGCGUGGGUAGCAAACAGG